GCAGGCUGAGGUAGUAGGUUGUGUGGUUGCAGGGUAGUAAUUUUUGCCCCUUUCAGGAGUUAACUAUACAACCUACUGCCUUCCCUGA